UCCCUGGUGGUCCAGUGGUUAGGACGCGGUGCUUUCACUACUAUGGCUCAGGUCCAACCCCUGGCCUGGGAG
rnacentral:tRNA from 1 species